GGGCGCCGUGUGCGGUGAAAAUCGCAUGCACGGUGCUAAGCGGGGGAAAAGCUGGAAACACUGAAACUGUAGGCUUACCUAUCGCAAU
rfam:Peptoniphilus harei ACS-146-V-Sch2b contig00039, whole genome shotgun sequence.